rnacentral:rRNA from 1 species
ACGAGUGGCGGACGGGUGAGUAACGCGUAGGGAUCUACCUAGCAAUGGGGGAUAGCCCGGUGAAAACCGGAUUAAUACCGCAUACGUCCUAUGGGAGAAAGGGUGCGACUUCUUCGGAAAGCACUCGUUGUUAGAUGAACCUGCGUCGGAUUAGCUAGUUGGUGGGGUAAGGGCCUACCAAGGCGACGAUCCGUAGCUGGUCUGAGAGGAUGACCAGCCACACUGGGACUGAGACACGGCCCAGACUCC